GACGAACGCUGGCGGCGUGCUUAACACAUGCAAGUCGAACGGUGAAGGGGAGCUUGCUCCCCGGAUCAGUGGCGAACGGGUGAGUAACACGUGGGCAACCUGCCCCAGACUUCGGGAUAACGCUUCGAAAGAGGUGCUAAUACCGGAUACGAACUCCUUGGGCAUCCUGGGAGUUGGAAAGUUUUUCGGUCUGGGAUGGGCCCGCGGCCUAUCAACUUGUUGGUGAGGUAACGGCUCACCAAGGCGACGACGGGUAGCCGGCCUGAGAGGGCGACCGGCCACACUGGGAAUGAGACACGGCCCAGACUCCUACGGGAGGCAGCAGUGGGGAAUAUUGCGCAAUGGGCGAAAGCCUGACGCAGCAACGCCGCGUGAGGGAUGACGGCCUUCGGGUUGUAAACCUCUUUCAGCAGGGAAGAAGCGAAAGUGACGGUACCUGCAGAAGAAGCACCGGCUAACUACGUGCCAGCCGCCGCAGUAACAC
rnacentral:rRNA from 1 species